rnacentral:rRNA from 1 species
GAGUUUGAUCGUGGCUCAGAUUGAACGCUGGCGGCAUGCCUUACACAUGCAAGUCGAACGGCAGCACGGGAGCUUGCUCCUGGUGGCGAGUGGCGAACGGGUGAGUAAUGCAUCGGAACGUAUCCUGGAGUGGGGGAUAACGUAGCGAAAGUUACGCUAAUACCGCAUAUUCUGUGAGCAGGAAAGCGGGGGGACCUUCGGGCCUCGCGCUCUUGGAGCGGCCGAUGUCGGAUUAGCUAGUUGGUGAGGUAAAGGCUCACCAAGGCGACGAUCCGUAGCAGGUCUGAGAGGAUGAUCCGCCACACUGGAACUGAGACACGGUCCAGACUCCUACGGGAGGCAGCCAGUGGGGAAUUUUGGACAAUGGGGGCGAACCCUGAUCCAGCCAUGCCGCGUGAGUGAAGAAGGCCUCGG